rnacentral:rRNA from 1 species
AGUGAACGCUGGCGGUAGGCCUAACACAUGCCAGUCGAACGGCAGCACAGUAAGAGCUUGCUCUUACGGGUGGCGAGUGGCGGACGGUGAGGAAUACAUCGGAAUCUACUUUUUCGUGGGGGAUAACGUAGGGAAACUUACGCUAAUACCGCAUACGACCUACGGGUGAAAGCAGGGGAUCUUCGGACCUUGCGCGAUUGAAUGAGCCGAUGUCGGAUUAGCUAGUUGGCGGGGUAAAGGCCCACCAAGGCGACGAUCCGUAGCUGGUCUGAGAGGAUGAUCAGCCACACUGGAACUGAGACACGGUCCAGACUCCUACGGGAGGCAGCAGUGGGGAAUAUUGGACAAUGGGCGCAAGCCUGAUCCAGCCAUACCGCGUGGGUGAAGAAGGCCUUCGGGUUGUAAAGCCCUUUUGUUGGGAAAGAAAAGCAGCAGGUUAAUACCCCGCUGUUCUGACGGUACCCAAAGAAUAAGCACCGGCUAACUUCGUG